rnacentral:rRNA from 1 species
UACGGAGGGUGCUAACGUUGCUCGGAAUUAUUGGGCGUAAAGCGCACGUAGGCGGUCCCUCAAGUCGGGGGUGAAAGCCCUCGGCUUAACCGAGGAAGUGCAUUCGAAACUAAGGGACUUGAAUACUGGAGAGGAUGGCGGAAUUCCCGGUGUAGAGGUGAAAUUCGUAGAUAUCGGGAGGAACACCAGCGGCGAAGGCGGCCAUCUGGACAGAUAUUGACGCUGAGGUGCGAAAGCGUGGGGAGCAAACAGG